rnacentral:rRNA from 1 species
UAUGUAGGGUGCAAGCGUUGUCCGGAAUUAUUGGGCGUAAAGAGCUCGUAGGCGGUCUGUUACGUCGGCUGUGAAAACCUGGGGCUCAACCCCGGGCCUGCAGCCGAUACGGGCAGACUAGAAUUCGGUAGGGGAGACUGGAAUUCCUGGUGUAGCGGUGAAAUGCGCAGAUAUCAGGAGGAACACCGGUGGCGAAGGCGGGUCUCUGGGCCGAUAUUGACGCUGAGGAGCGAAAGCGUGGGGAGCGAACAGG